rnacentral:pre_miRNA from 1 species
UGGACAAAUUAUUAUAUUCAACUGUAUUCACGGCGUGAAGUAGGAGAUUACACUGUUUUUAAAACGGAAAGUGAAUCAAUUAACAUAAUAGACUCUU